rnacentral:rRNA from 1 species
AGUAGUGGCGAGCGAAAAGGGAGUAGCCCAAACUUUAAAUGUGUCAAGCUGCAGAGCGUUGCAUUUAUGGGGUUGUAGGACGUUUAGGCUUAGUCUGUAAUAAGCAAAAAAGUUACAAAAUAUUUAUAUAGAAGAAUAAUCUGGAAAGUUUAACCAAAGAAGGUGAUAGUCCUGUAAUUUAAAUGUAAAUAUCUUUUUANAAUGUUCCUGAGUAGGACGAGGCACGAGAAACCUUGUUUGAAGCUGGGGAGACCACUCUCCAAGGCUAAAUACUAGAAAGCUACCGAUAGAGAAGAGU